AAAGCCUUCAAGGGGAGCCCUCCGGCUGAGAGUGAACGAUGUUCUGACCCUUCGAACCUGUCAGUUAAUACUGGCGCAGGGAUGGCGGCUUUUUUGAUG
rnacentral:ncRNA from 2 species